GAAAAGAAAAAAGAUUGAGGUUAAUUACUAAUUAUUAGUUAUAGUUACCCUCAUCGGUAAGAGAAAUAGUGCGUGCUGAUUUGGUGUGUGUCUGUCUCCGUCUAACGUUGUUGUGGAUUGGAUUGGAGAGGGAUGAUAGUGAACUGUGUUAGAGUCACAGCCAUGGCCAUGGCUGUUCCUUCAUUGAGAUUGAGACCCAUAUGCUGCUGCACUUCUUCAACCAUCAACACAGACCAUCUUCGUUCUCAACUCGAUCACCUUCAUGCUGAGGCUCACACCACCAGAACCAAGGCAAAUAAUGCUAGAUUGAGGCUUCUGCGAUUGUCAGAGGCUGCAGAGAAGCUUCAAAAACAAGCAGCUAUAAGCAUUCAGAAGGGGGAGGAAAAUGAUGGAAGGGAAAUGCUUUUUCAGAGGAAGAAGGUGUUGCAGGCUUUGGAGAAAUCCAAAAGCCGCAUUGAAUUGCUUGAUAAGCUUUCCACAAAGCUAAGUGAGGCAAUAUCUUUGAAAGAAAGUCAGCUAAUUGGAAAUGUCACUACGAACAUUGAAGACACAACAGAAGAUGCUUCAAGUCCAGUUCGAAUCAUUGCUCCAAAGGAGGAAGUUCAAAAAGAUUUUACCAAGGAUGACUCGAAUCCCAAUAUGAAAUUCAGUGAUAUUCAAGACGUGCAACUUUCUACGGAAAGUGAAGGGAAUCCACUGGAUGACAUGGAGACUGAGAAUCUUAGGCGAUCCCUUAGCAUAGGCAGUUGGAAUGAAGACAAUAUAGGCAGAAACUUGUCCUCAGGAAUAUCCUCUUAUGAGGAUUUCAUGGAGCAUAUAGAUCAAAAGCUCAGUGAAAUUGAAGCUGAACUAAUAACUGUUUUGAAUGUCUCAAGCUUUGUACUCGAUGGUGAAGAGAGACCAAAGAAUUCCCGGUUGCAACAAAUGAUGGAACUCCUUGAGAGCAUCCAUGGCAUUAGACAGAGAAUCAGAAGUACCGAGGAGGCAAAUUGGAGGGGCUGAUCAAUUUUGUUUUGUUCAACUGAUCUUCUGCUGCCAGGGUUUUCUGUCUUUAUUCUGUCUCAUAAAUGAACGUGCUAGUUUAGUAUUUGGAGGUAGACUCCCUCAGAAGGACCUUUCUGUGAAAGGCAGGCUAAAAGGUGUGGCUUUUUUGGAGUUCAGAAUUAUUGCUUCUAUGAUUCACAUAUUUUAUAAAUUUUCUCUUUGCAAUACCGUAAAUUUCAAUGGUGUUCGAGUCUACACAAUCAAUGUAUACUGCCCGUGAAGAUUUGGCAUUCUUGCUACCCAUGAUAUCGGGAGUUUCUGCAACUACGGCGGAUGAAAUUCUAUUAUAUGGUUUGGAGUUGCGGUAAGGUUGCUUCUUAUGAUUGGAAGGUCAAGAGUUCGAAUCUAGGAAAUAGUCUCUUUGCAAAAAUGCAAGAGUAAGGCUGCAUACAAUCGACCAUUGUUCCAAUAUACUAAUACUAUAUGAGAUUACCAACAUUCAUUACCUGAUUGAACCAUCGUUAUCAAGGUCUGCAGCUACUAAAUCUGAUAAGGUUAUCUUCUUGUGUAGAAUCCAUUUUGCCACCUGACGGUUUCUCUUGUGC